GGGCAAAACAAAAAUCUUCUGAUUUUUCAUCUAUCUGUAAACUUUAUCCAUGAAAAAGAUACUCUUGAAUGUGUUUUCAAAAAACUUUUUUCUUACUUAUGGCUUGUAGAUUUAAGUCCUUCCCUACUAGGGUUCAAAGAUGCUCUACAACAUUUUUUUUUAACUUUGCAGUUUUACCUUUCCCAGUUCGGCUUUCUUCCAUCUGGAGUUCCCAUCGUAUCUCACUGCCCUGAUCUAAAGCCUUCAAGCAUGACCUUCUCUGGUGGUCCAGUGGUUAAGAGUCUGUGCUUUCACCGCAAGGAGCACAGUCAGAUGUAUUUGCACUACAGACUUUACUCAUCUUUGGACCUCAGGCAUAGAGAAUAUCACGUUGUCUGAAAACAUCCCCUAAUGGUAAAGUGAGCAUUGUUACAUAAUUGAAAAUGUAUUUUUCCUGCUUAAAUCAUUUUCAAGUCUAGAAAAAGACUUUCCUUUUCUUGAUUUUUUAGAUUGAAAUACUUUUAUGUAAAUUGUAAAGGUAGUACCUUCUCAUUACUUCAGAAGUAAAGUAAUACAAAAGUGUGCAAAGUAGGGAAUGAUAAAUUUUAAAUCCCAGCCCUUUCAAAAUACUAUUUCUUCCUCUUUAUUAUAUAUAGAAUUAUUUGAGUAGAAGUCUGGGGAGGGAUGUCAAAAAUCCCAGUGCCAGGCCAUGUUCCAGACCAAAUAGACCAGAAUCACUGGGAGUGGGACCCAAGCAUUGGAUUUUUGAUAGCUCUCUAGGUGUUUCUAAUAUGCAGCCAAUGUUGUAAAUGCUUUUACAAUACUUUAAAACAUAAAAAGUGGGUCAUGUAGCAUUCAGCAUCUUGCUUUUUUCCCAGAUACUUGUUUUGCAGGAUUUAGAAACACUUUGCUCUAUAGCAGAAAUUAGCACAACAUUCUGAAUCAACUACAAUAAAAAAAAAAAAACCCUCCCUUUGGUUUAAAGUUUAUCUGUAGUUAAAAACUCCAUUUAUUUUGAAAAUGUUCUCAAGUCUGCCAGCCUUGUUAAGCAUUUGAUUAGCAUUAUAGAAUAGUUAUUUUAGAUGGAUUAACUAUUCCUGGUAAUAAUGGUAACUUUUGAUUUGUUAGUAGUAGUAUCAAAUUCUUCCCUCUUUAAAUUAAGAUUCAGAGUUUGUCAAAAUUCCUACUGAAUGGCCAGUGUCCUUGUGGGAACUUUGUUUCUAUGGUGCCAAACGGCAGAAUAUAGUCAAGUACUCAGUAGGACCUAAGUUUUGUAAAAAACUUAGAAACCAAAAGAAUCAAUUUACUCAAAGUUAAAUUGUGCCCCCCCCCCAUUUUUUUUUUAACUGAGAAAUCACCUUAUCUCUUAUUUUCAGUCGCUUCCUCUCCUCUGGCUUAUUUUCCUUAAACAUCGCUCUCCCCAGAUGUUAACAGCUAGAAACCUCUUCACCACCUGUGAGCUGUCCUGCGCUACCUGCUGCCUUCGAGUCUGGUGCCUGAUGCUGGGAUGCACUCUCAUCUUCCUCAGUCCCCAGUCCUGUCCUCCCCCAGCCCUGCUAGGGAAGAUGCUCAUGCUGUCCUAGUAGAGGUCUUCCCAGCAGCAAGUAGUCCAUCGAUGGCACUCCUUAGUGAAAUUUCUUUUCUUCUUUGCCUAUAGGAUCCUCUUUUUUUGCAGUUUCCUUUUAUCUUUGACUUUUGUUUCUUUAGUCUCAAUUCCAGCUGACCACUGUCUUUCUUUUAUAAGUUACCUUUUUUCCCCUUCUUGUAAAAGUGUUAUGCUUGUUUCCAGUAGAAAGUAUGGAAUAGUUAAAAAAAAGUAUUCAAAAUCUCACUAGAAAUAGCAUUUCAGAUUUUUUUGAUUCUUUGUGAAAAAUGGGAUCAUGCUGCCUAUGCAGUCUUUAGAUAUCCAUAGCCUUUAUUUCUUCUCUGCCUAAUCAUUGUGUUUGUUAGGGGAAGCACACUGACUGAAAG
rnacentral:lncRNA from 1 species